rnacentral:rRNA from 1 species
CAGGCUGCAACUCGCCUGCAUGAAGUUGGAAUUGCUAGUAAUCGCGAAUCAGAAUGUCGCGGUGAAUACGUUCCCGGGCCUUGUACACACCGCCCGUCACACCAUGAGAGUCGAUAACACCCGAAGCCUGUGAGCUAACCGCAAGGAGGCAGCAGUCGAAGGUGGGGUUNAUGAUUGGGGUGAAGUCGUAACAAGGUAGC